rnacentral:ncRNA from 1 species
ACUACUGAAUUUAAGAAUAUUAAUAAAUGGAGGAAAAGAAACUUACAAGGAUCCCCUUAGUAACUAUGAGGGAAUUGGGAACAACCCAGCCUUAGAAUCGGGAGGCUCCACGUUUGAAUUGUAGUUUGGAGAAGUGUCCUCAGCGAUGGACUGGGCCCAAGUCCCCUGGAAGGGGGCGCCAAAGAGGAUGAGAGCCCUAUUGUGUCCAGACCCUGUCACACCACAAGGCUCUAUCUACGAGUCGGAUUGUUUGAGAAUGCAUCCCAAAUCAGGCGGUGAAUUCCAUCCAAGGUUAAAAACGGGUGUAAGACCGAUAGCAAACAAGUACCAUGAGGGAACUAUGAAAAGGACUUUGGAAAUAGAGUUAAAGAUUGCUUGAAAUUAUUGGGAGAGAAAAGGAUGGGGGCCAGCGCUGCACCCCGAUUAUAUAUGGAACGGCGAUGAGUCAGUCUACCGAUCGACUUAGGGUAUGGACCAGCAUGGAUUGGGGGGCAGCCAAAGCCUAGGCUCUCAAUAUAUUCGUGGAAUGCCAUCUCCUCAAUUGUGGUAGGCAGCGCAUGCAUAUGGCGGGCUUCGGCAUCUGCGUAAUUGAUGUUUCGGCUUUUGACAGAAUAUUUUGCAUCUUUCUUGGGAAAAUUUGAUGUUUUCAAGAAACCAAGGUUACAUUUAUCUUAGUUUUUAGUGUUUUAGGGAAAGGAGUUAGCUGAAGGAAAAGACUCUGGAAACUGGCAGAAAAGUGCUUUUGACGAUUAAAAUGGUGGAAUGUCACACCUUCGAUGGACCACCAACCUUACCAUCAAGUUUUAGG